GAGUUCAAUGGCUUUGCUCAGAGCACAGCCUGGUUCCUCAUUUCCAUGAGAUCCUUGGGCCGUGGCUGAAUAACGAGAAGUGGCAGCCUCCUCCACAGCCUCAGGUCAAAUGCAGAGUUCUCUUGCAGGCUGUUUUCAGUGAGUGCAGCAAGAGCCACCCAGCAGAGGGGCCCCCACCAAGGGCCAUCUCCAUGAGAGACAAUUCCGUGUGGAGCUUGGUCAGCUCUGCCUUGGCUUCCCAGAGACCUUCCCUGGGUACCAGCCUCCUUCCCAGCCAGCUUCUGAGCACCUCAAAACAUCCUUGUGGUGGAUAUUCCUCAAUUUGUCUGGCCUGGGAUCAAGGCUGAAAGCACUGCUGGAAAGACACUUCAGCCAAAGAUUGUUUGGGUCAAUUGUUCCUUCUGGUAUUAAAGUUAUGAAUCAUCUUGGCAUCAAGGUGUGACCUUUCCUCUUUAUGCUAUUAUGUCACCAAAAAAGAGGCAGAAAUGGAAAUAGGAAGAUGAUUGCAAUAAAUUUCUCAGCACUGAUAUAAUGUCUCGUGCUCACCAGGAGUAUUAGACUCGUAAACCUCAUCUCCCCUGGCAUGGAUCCACACUAAACUUUGUUUCUACCAACAAAUUCCAACAUUCCUUUUUCCUGCAGUGCAGCUUUCUCAGCAUCAUAAACCACCUGCUGGACUGAGUUCUCUGAAGUGGCAGUGCAGAGAUUUCCAUCCAGAACUGAUCCAGGCAGUCUGAAAAGCUGCACUCCUGCAGAGCAGAGUCCCCACAGGAAUGAUCCUUCCAAACCUAAUGCUUUGAUGAUGCUGGUCCAGAGGAGAUAGUGAAUAAAAGCGUUUGAAAAAAAUCUAAAUUGUGGGUAACAGUGAGGGAAUAAAUGUCAAUUCUUGAUCUGUAUCUGCCUUGGAAACAGUUACAUUUGCAGAGCAGAAACUUGGUGCUGGUUAUUUACUACAAUUCUAAUAGCUCAC